rnacentral:rRNA from 1 species
CAGCAGCCGCGGUAAUACGUAGGGUGCGAGCGUUAAUCGGAAUUACUGGGCGUAAAGGGCGCGUAGGUGGUUAUUUAAGUGAGAUGUGAAAGCCCCGGGCUUAACCUGGGAACUGCAUUUGUGACUGUAUAGCUAGAGUACGGUAGAGGGGGAUGGAAUUUCGCGUGUAGCAGUGAAAUGCGUAGAUAUGCGGAGGAACACCGAUGACGAAGGCAAUCCCCUGGACCUGUACUGACGCUCAUGCACGAAAGCGUGGGGAGCAAACAGGAUUAGAUACCCGUGUAGUCCCUGUCUCUUAUAC